rnacentral:rRNA from 1 species
GACGAGCGCUGGCGGCGUGCCUAAUACAUGCAAGUCGAGCGCAGGAAGCUGACGGAACUCUUCGGAGGGAAGGCAGUGGAAUGAGCGGCGGACGGGUGAGUAACACGUAAGGAACCUGCCUCAAGGAUUGGGAUAACUCCGAGAAAUCGGAGCUAAUACCGGAUAGUUCAACGGACCGCAUGGCCCGCUGAUGAAAGGCGCUCCGGCGUCACCUUGAGAUGGCCUUGCGGUGCAUUAGCUAGUUGGUGGGGUAACGGCCCACCAAGGCGACGAUGCAUAGCCGACCUGAGAGGGUGAUCGGCCACACUGGGACUGAGACACGGCCCAGACUCCUACGGGAGGCAGCAGUAGGGAAUCUUCCACAAUGGACGAAAGUCUGAUGGAGCAACGCCGCGUCAGUGAUGAAGGUUUUCGGAUCGUAAAACUCUGUUGUAAGGGAAGAACACGUACGAGAGGGAAUGCUCGUACCUUGACGGUACCUUACGAGAAAGCCACGGCUAACUACGUGCCAGCAGCCGCCGUAACAC